rnacentral:lncRNA from 1 species
UUGAACACAGCAGGAGAGAAUCUUUGCUAAUUAAACCUUAAAUACAUGCCUUAAGUAUGUAACAUAUGGCUUCAAAUUAACAACAGGGUACCCUGUAAGGGAGCUGACCGAGUAAGGCUUGGCAACAGGCCAAAAGGAAGUUGCCCUGCUAGCUGGCAUAUACUGAUCUUUUGCGUUGGAUAAGUGCAGCUAAGCCUAAGGGCUUUGUUUACGGCCGCGCCUGAAUACGUAUGUCCUAGGUAUUGUGCGCUCUGUCACAUGCCAACGACACCCAGGCAGGAAGGGAGGAAUGAUCUGUUAAAGAGAACUCGGGAAUAAACAGCAGGGAGCACCAAACACUCGCUGGGUUGGUAUAAAUGUAUCCAGCAGAGGCACACACACACACACACAACACACAAGAAAAACAAUCCACUGGAUCAUUUGUGCUAUAUAGUUGUUCCCCCUUCUGCCCGUAUUAAGGUAUUACUACUCGUUUUUCCUUGAUGUAGCCAGCACUGAAACGGCACCAUGCAUGUUUGGCUUUACAACAUAGUUUAUAAGCUAGUUGCUAUUCUGGGGAUGCGAGCAUCAAAGGUACGACAUGGGUGUGUCGGUGGCCCUACGGCCCUACAAUAGUCACGAUUGCCACCUCGAGCUCGUCAGGAAUAUGUUGUCAACAUGGCCCUCUAUACACAGCAUGCACAUGCUACCAUGCCAUACCACAUCCUUGGAUACCAG